AGAGAGAGCGGUAAUGUUUCGAUACGGCGAGGCAUUAUUUACAAUCUUUUUUCUUCCUUUCGAAACAUUUCUGAUAUGAAAUUGUAAUCAAAUGUGUCAGUUUCGAUUCGAACGUACAGCAGUCGGCAGAUAUUUUCAAUUAUGGCUAACGAUAAAAUUCAAUCCGACGAAAAUGUCCAACAAAAAUUUCGCAAUUUUAUUUACUUUUAUUUUAUUGUCUUUUAUUUUAUUUGUGUACCUCUUUAUUUUGGUAUAAUAUACAUGUUCGCGCAAAUUUUUACUCAAUUAUUAUUUAUGACUUCUUACUCAAUUGUUGACCUGUGAUAUCUAUAAGCUUGGAAGAAUAUCGAUUAUAGACGACAUCAUUUUCUUGAUAAAAUAAAAAAAAUGCAUACUUUAAAAUUUUUUUUAAAAUAUCGGCAUUACUUUAAAAUUUUUAUGAAAUAUUCAUAUCUGACCGCGCUAAUCACAUAAGAUUAAUUAACAGCUCUCUAUAAUAGAAAGCGUAUUUAAUAUAUGACGAAACAUAUAUACAAACAACAAUGUAAUUCAAAAAAACUAUUAAUAUGAAUCUGCAUAUAUGACAUAAAUUCAAACUGAAGCAGGAGGACACAAAAACAAGCCAACUAUACAGAUAUUAAAAUCGCGAUUUAUACGGUUUACACGGCUGAAAUCAUGGCUUUGCGAUUUGAUGAUUAUCAGUUAUCUUUAAUAAUAACAAGCAAAAAGAUAGGAAAUUAAAAUGUAAAAUUAGUGCGUGUAUAUAUUUGAGUCUGAACUGUUAUCGCCAAUUAAUAUAAUGAAGAAUCGUGUUUUGUCGUGUUCCUUUCUAUGCGUUCUUAUUUUACACUCUAAUCGACAAGCAAUCUAUUAUUUAUUGUGCUGAUGUAUGCGCGUAAAUAUAUAAUUUUCUUUCUACAUUUAGUACAAAUUGACAAAAAAGGUUAUUACAAUUACAUAGUAAUCACUUUAUAUUAUAGCGUAUAAUCGAAAUAGCAUAAAAUCGAGAUAUUAUCGAAUUUAAUAUAUCUCACAUUUUAACUCUGUAGUGUCGUAAGCGAAAAUAUCUCAAAUAUUUUUAUUAUCCUUUUAAUAGAAUUAUAACAAUAUUAUAUUAAUGACAUUAAUAAAUUUACAAUACAUUGACAUAUUUUAUUUGAAAACGAGAAAUAUAAUUUACAAUCAUGCUAUAAAUACAACUACAUAAUGUAAAAAUAUUUUUACAAGGUGAAAAAGACAAAAAGAGAAACGUUUAUA